rnacentral:rRNA from 1 species
CAAUAGCAUAUAUUAACGUUGUUGCAGUUGAAAAGCUCGUAGUUGAACUUUUGGUAGGAGCGACCUGGCCUUGGGCGCAUGCCCUUGUUUGCCGUGUGUCGUAUCUGGCCAUCCUUUUCCGUUUCGGCGGGAAUCUUUUACUGUGAGUAAACUGGAGUGCUCAAAACAAGACGUUUGUUUGGUACAUUAAAGCAUGGAAUAAUAAGAUAGGACCUGGUUACUAUUUUGUUGGUUUGCAUAGCUAGGUAAUGAUUAACAGGGACAGUUGGGGGUAUUCGUAUUUAAUUGUCAGAGGUGAAAUUCUUGGAUUUAUGAAAGACGAACGACUGCGAAAGCAUUUACCAAGGAUGUUUUCAUUA